rnacentral:rRNA from 1 species
UACAGAGGUGGCUAGCGUUGUUCGGAAUUACUGGGCGUAAAGGGCGCGUAGGCGGUCCGUUAAGUCCCGUGUGAAAUCCCUCGGCUCAACUGAGGAACUGCACGGGAAACUGGCGGGCUUGAGUUCGGGAGAGGGAAGCGGAAUUCCGGGUGUAGCGGUGAAAUGCGUAGAUAUCCGGAGGAACACCGGUGGCGAAGGCGGCUUCCUGGACCGACACUGACGCUGAGGCGCGAAAGCUAGGGGAGCAAACGGG